CUCCGGUUGAUCCCGCCGGACCCGACUGCUAUCAGAGUGGGACUAAGCCAUGCGAGUCAACAUAGCAAUAUGUGGCAUACGGCUCAGUAACACGUAGUCAACAUGCCCAGGGGACGUGGAUAACCUCGGGAAACUGAGGAUAAACCGCGAUAGGUCAUCACUUCUGGAAUGGGUAAUGACUUAAAUCUAUAUGGCCCCUGGAUUGGACUGCGGCCGAUCAGGCUGUUGGUGAGGUAAUGGCCCACCAAACCUGUAACCGGUACGGGCUCUGAGAGGAGGAGCCCGGAGAUGGGCACUGAGACAAGGGCCCAGGCCCUAUGGGGCGCAGCAGGCGCGAAACCUCUGCAAUAGGCGAAAGCUUGACAGGGUUACUCUGAGUGAUUUCCGUUAAGGAGAUCUUUUGGCACCUCUAAAAAUGGUGCAGAAUAAGGGGUGGGCAAGUCUGGUGUCAGCCGCCGCGGUAAUACCAGCACCCCGAGUGGUCGGGACGUUUAUUGGGCCUAAAGCAUCCGUAGCCGGUUCUACAAGUCUUCCGUUAAAUCCACCUGCUUAACAGAUGGGCUGCGGAAGAUACUAUAGAGCUAGGAGGCGGGAGAGGCAAGCGGUACUCGAUGGGUAGGGGUAAAAUCCGUUGAUCCAUUGAAGACCACCAGUGGCGAAGGCGGCUUGCCAGAACGCGCUCGACGGUGAGGGAUGAAAGCUGGGGGAGCAAACCGGAUUAGAUACCCGGGUAGUCCCAGCUGUAAACGAUGCAGACUCGGUGAUGAGUUGGCUUAUUGCUAACUCAGUGCCGCAGGGAAGCCGUUAAGUUUGCCGCCUGGGGAGUACGGUCGCAAGACUGAAACUUAAAGGAAUUGGCGGGGGGAGCA
rnacentral:rRNA from 1 species